AGGAUUAUAUUUAAUUAUAAUAUUUGAUUUGCAUUCAAAAGGUGUUCUAAGAACUAAUCUUA
rnacentral:tRNA from 1 species